rnacentral:rRNA from 1 species
GAUGAACGCUGGCGGCGUGCCUAAUACAUGCAAGUCGAGCGAACAGACGAGGAGCUUGCUCCUCUGACGUUAGCGGCGGACGGGUGAGUAACACGUGGAUAACCUACCUAUAAGACUGGGAUAACUUCGGGAAACCGGAGCUAAUACCGGAUAAUAUAUUGAACCGCAUGGUUCAAUAGUGAAAGACGGUUUUGCUGUCACUUAUAGAUGGAUCCGCGCCGCAUUAGCUAGUUGGUAAGGUAACGGCUUACCAAGGCAACGAUGCGUAGCCGACCUGAGAGGGUGAUCGGCCACACUGGGACUGAGACGCGGUCCAGACUCCUACGGGAGGCAGAAGUAGGGAAUCUUCCGCAAUGGGCGAAAGCCUGACGGAGCAACGCCGCGUGAGUGAUGAAGGUCUUCGGAUCGUAAAACUCUGUUAUUAGGGAAGAACAAAUGUGUAAGUAACUAUGCACGUCUUGACGGUACCUAAUCAGAAAGCCACGGCUAACUACGUG